CAGGGUAUAGCUUAAUAAAGCACUUCGUUUACACCGAACUGAUGUCUGUUGCACCAGGCUACUCUGAG
rnacentral:tRNA from 1 species